rnacentral:rRNA from 1 species
AACGAGCGCUGGCGGCAUGCCUAACACAUGCAAGUCGAACGAGACCUUCGGGUCUAGUGGCGCACGGGUGCGUAACGCGUGGGAACCUGCCCUUAGGUUCGGAAUAACUCCCCGAAAGGGGUGCUAAUACCGGAUAAUGUCUUCGGACCAAAGAUUUAUCGCCUUUGGAUGGGCCCGCGUUGGAUUAGCUAGUUGGUAGGGUAAAAGCCUACCAAGGCGACGAUCCAUAGCUGGUCUGAGAGGAUGAUCAGCCACACUGGGACUGAGACACGGCCCAGACUCCUACAGGAGGCAGCAGUGGGGAAUAUUGGACAAUGGGCGAAAGCCUGAUCCAGCAAUGCCGCGUGAGUGAUGAAGGCCUUAGGGUUGUAAAGCUCUUUUACCCGGGAUGAUAAUGACAGUACCGGGAGAAUAAGCUCCGGCUAACUCCGUG